rnacentral:rRNA from 1 species
AUUGAACGCUGGCGGCAUGCCUUACACAUGCAAGUCGAACGGCAGCACGGGUGCUUGCACCUGGUGGCGAGUGGCGAACGGGUGAGUAAUACAUCGGAACGUACCUUAUCGUGGGGAUAACGCAGCGAAAGCUGUGCUAAUACCGCAUACGCCCUGAGGGGGAAAGCGGGGGAUCGCAAGACCUCGCGCGAUUAGAGCGGCCGAUGCCUGAUUAGCUUGUUGGUGGGGUAAAAGCCCACCAAGGCGACGAUCAGUAGCUGGUCUGAGAGGACGAUCAGCCACACGGGGACUGAGACACAGCCCAGACUCCUACGGGAGGCAGCAGUGGGGAAUUUUGGACAAUGGGGGCAACCCUGAUCCAGCAAUGCCGCGUGAGUGAAGAAGGCCUUCGGGUUGUAAAGCUCUUUUGUCAGGGAAGAAACACCGGCUCUAACACAGUCCGGGAAUGACGGUACCUGAAGAAUAAGCACCGGCUAACUACGUGCCAGCCGCCGCCGUAA